rnacentral:rRNA from 1 species
UACGGAGGGUGCAAGCGUUGUCCGGAUUUAUUGGGUUUAAAGGGUCCGUAGGCGGACUCGUAAGUCAGUGGUGAAAUCUCAUAGCUUAACUAUGAAACUGCCAUUGAUACUGCGGGUCUUGAGUAAGGUAGAGGUAGCUGGAAUAAGUAGUGUAGCGGUGAAAUGCAUAGAUAUUACUUAGAACACCAAUUGCGAAGGCAGGUUACCAUGUCUUAACUGACGCUGAUGGACGAAAGCGUGGGGAGCGAACAGG